rnacentral:lncRNA from 10 species
AUACAGCCAUUAUCCAACUUACACAGCAUUACAUAGAGUAUUACACAGCUGGGAAAUGACUGGAAUUUAGACGCCAGCAAUAACAAAGAUGGGUCUCAGAAACAUAGUGUUGCAUGAAAAUAGCAAGUCACCAAAUUACAUAUAUUUUAUGAUUCAUCUACAUAUAUGUAUCAUAUAGGAAUACAAACGUGGUGAAACCAUAAAGUAAGAGAAAAAUAAACACAAAAUUCACAAUAAUGUUACCUCUGAGGAUACUGGGAAGAGAAUGGGUUGGCAGAAGGACACCCAAUACACAAGGAUCUUUUAAACUUUACAUACAGUUUUAAAAAAUUCUCUAUCUACUCAAAGCUUAACUUUUAAAGUAAAAUAAAUAGAUUAUACAAAAGUAAACCAACGAACAUGAGCUAAAAUGGCACGAAGUUCAAAUGUUUUAUUACAAAUGAUAACCAAAAAUUCAGCGUAGUUUAGCUAUAUAUCUGCCAAGUUCUUUUUUUUUUUUUUUUUUUUUUUUGAGAUGGAGUCUCGCUCUGUUGCUCAGGCUGGAGUGCAGUGGCAUGAUUUCGGCUCACUGUAACCUCCUCAUGGGUUCAAGCAAUUCUCCUGCCUCAGCCUCCCGAAUAGCUGGAAUUACAGGCACCUGCCACCAUGUCUGGCUAAUUUUUGUUUUGUUUUUUUUUUAGUAGAGAUGGGGGUUUCACCAUGUUGGCCAGGCUGGUCUCGAACUUGUGACCUCAUGUGAUCCACCCACCUUGCCCUCCGAAAGUGCUAGGAUUACAGGCAUGAGCCACCACGCCUGGCCUGCCAAGAUCUUUUUUUUUCUUUUUUGGGAUGGAAUUUCGCUUUUUGCCCAGGCUGGAGUGCAAUGGCUCCAUCUCAGCUCACUGCAACCUCAGCCUCCCAGGUUCAAGUGAUUCUCCUGUGUCAGCCUCCCAAGUAGCUGGGAUUAUAGGCAUGAGCUACCACACCCAGUCCUGCCAAGUACUUAAUGUGGAAAUUUCUCAUUCUGAAUUAGCAGAUCAUCAUGUAAUAAAGGCAGAAUUGAAAGACUACUAGUGAAUAAUUGUGUUUAUAAAACAUGGCACCCAGAUAAAUGACAAAAGUCCUGUAAAAUAUAUUAUUUACUCCUGGUUCAUAAUUAAUUACAUGCUCUAUGGAGACAAGAUGCUCCAGUAAUGAAGUUUUUGACAUUUCAGGAAAAACGUUUAUUUGAUCUGCUAUUUCACAAUGGUCUAUCAUCUGCUACAACAUUCAAUCUUCUAUAAAUAAGAUUUCACAGUCAUCACUGGAGCGGACUUCCUGAGAAAAAACAAUAACAUUUAAGACAUCUAAUUGCUAAAACUCAAUAUUCAAAUUCAACACUUUAUUUUUUCUCUCUACUAAUGCUACUGCAAAGAAGUACAUUCUAAUCCUAAAGACAGACUGCCUGCUGGAAGGAGAAGAAUUCCGGCUUCUCCUAACUGUUUAAAGAUCCAGGCCUUUAUAUACAGAGCCACCUAAGCCCAGGAUUCCACAGCCUGACUGAGUUGGUUGCCAAGUAUUUGGCCUGAGCAGAAUUUAAAAACAUAC